GUAAGAACAACUCUUUAAUUACAUUAUCUCCCAGGUACAGAAAAUAUACAAUAUUUAUAAAUGGUAUAAAAUAAAUUUUAAAACUUCAGAACUCCCCAAAAGUUACUUUAUCAAAUAGCUGGAAUCUGAGAGCCCACCUUGUCAAAAUAUCCCUCCGAUCCGUUGGGUGGUUUUGGAACGCCAUUCGAGUAAAGUUCAGACCGGUCGACCAUGAGGUGAAGCCCCAAAACAGUUCCAGAGAUUACUAGCCUUAGACCGGUCUUCUUUCGGGAGUAUAAAACAUAGAAAAUAAUGAAUGAAACCAUUCGUGUAGCAGGGGAUUGUGUGCCCCGUGUUCGGUAGUUUGUUUCAUACGAAUGUCGCUCUUUCCAGGUGAACUGAACCGAACACACGAAGGGGUGGUAGUUCAGCGGUGUUUGCGCCGUCAAGUGUCUGACUACACACCGAUGUCUGUGUUCGUGGACAAAGAUGGCCGCCACCAUGUGUUCGGUCAUAUGAACGACGGCCACCCAGCCAACCGCCUAGAACCUUGCGGUUUUUAAGUGUGAAUAAAGUCAAUUGGAGGCACACGACUCACCUAGGUGGUCCAACUGUUCGGCCAAUGGUUCGGUAUGCGAAGAAUAUAGCUAUGGUCUGUUCGGUGAACCCUAAUUGUCGAACUAGAAAAGCCACAACUAUGAACAGAACAGUCUCUAAUACAAAUAGGUGGCUGGUUCUGCCACAUCACCUAUGCUGUUUUACCAUUACUAAGGCAUCAUGAGAAUCCUACCACUAAUGUGGUCGCCACGAUCUAUAUGUUGGGUAUUCUAAACUGCAAGAAAAUGAAACUGAACUGCUU